GGUAAAAUGGCUGAGUUUUAGGCAAUAAAUUGUAAAUUUAUUUACGAAUUAAAUUCUUUUAUCA
rnacentral:tRNA from 1 species